rnacentral:lncRNA from 1 species
GAGAAGAAGAGCAUCCGAGUGAAUCCCAAAGCUUCCUCUCCAACUGUGUGCUGCCUCAGUGAUCCUCUACCUCGUGCGAAAUCAGAAGAGGGUCAAGUAAAGAAGAAGCCGAGUUCCUUCAUCUACAAAACUUGUUUGAGGGCUUCUUCUUUUUACUCUAUUUGUUUAUAUUGUUAUAUCUGCUUGUUUAAGAAGCUUGUAUUUGUUUUAAACUCUUGUUCUAAUAUCUUGUAACUUGAUUCAAUCAAGGGAUUGAAUCAAGGGGUUAAGGUUUGUUGGUGA